rnacentral:rRNA from 1 species
CUGGCUCAGGAUUAACGCUGGCGGCGUGCCUAAUACAUGCAAGUCGAAUGGUAGUAGCAAUACAAACCAUGGCGAACGGGUGAGUAACACGUAGGUAACCUGUCUUUAAGACGAGGAUAACCGUUGGAAACGACGGAUAAUACUGGAUAGGACAUUAAAUGGGGCAUCCCAAAAUGUUUAAAGAUUAUUAUGUCACUUAGAGAGGGGCCUGCGGCGCAUUAGCUAGUUGGUGAGAUAACAGCCCACCAAGGCGAUGAUGCGUAGCCGGACUGAGAGGUUGAACGGCCACAAUGGGACUGAGAACGGCCCAUACUCCUACGGGAGGCAGCAGUAGGGAAUUUUCGGCAAUGGGCGCAAGCCUGACCGAGCAACGCCGCGUGAACGAAGAAGUUAUUCGUAAUGUAAAGUUCUUUUAUCUGGGAAGAAAAAACAAAUUGACGGUACCAGAUGAAUAAGCUCCGGCUAACUACGUGCCAGCCGCGGC